rnacentral:rRNA from 1 species
GACGAACGCUGGCGGCGUGCUUAACACAUGCAAGUCGAACGGAAAGGCCCUGCUUUUGUGGGGUGCUCGAGUGGCGAACGGGUGAGUAACACGUGAGUAACCUGCCCUUGACUUUGGGAUAACUUCAGGAAACUGGGGCUAAUACCGGAUAGGAGCUCCUGCUGCAUGGUGGGGGUUGGAAAGUUUCGGCGGUUGGGGAUGGACUCGCGGCUUAUCAGCUUGUUGGUGGGGUAGUGGCUUACCAAGGCUUUGACGGGUAGCCGGCCUGAGAGGGUGACCGGCCACAUUGGGACUGAGAUACGGCCCGGACUCCUACGGGGGCAGCAGUGGGGAAUAUUGCACAAUGGGCGGAAGCCUGAUGCAGCAACGCCGCGUGCGGGAUGACGGCCUUCGGGUUGUAAACCGCUUUCGCCUGUGACGAAGCGUGAGUGACGGUAAUGGGUAAAGAAGCACCGGCUAACUACGUG